AUUUCUUUCCCCUUCCAAGUGGUACUUACAGCAAAAUUAUGCCUUCUUCCCUUCCUUGUGGCCAUCCCAGGCACCAUCACUGAACCAAGGGAGGAAUUAAGGAGGACAGAUGUCUCUAUCUGAAAGAGGACAAAUGUCUCCAAGAGGAGAAAAAGGAAUAUCUCAGAAAUUAGAGAUCAAUCACUCAGGGCAAGAUAGCUCUUCAGAAGCUCUAGGAGUAAAGCAGAAGCCUCCAUCAGGUCACAAGUUUCUUUAAAGGAGAAGCUGACUACAUUUUUUCAAAACUGACUAUUGAAGAUUAAAAAUUCACCUUGAAUAUGAAAAUCUUCUGCAUCUGGAGCUCUUUGUUCAACUGACAUUAUCCCACAAUUGUGUUAAAACAACUCAGCUAAAGUAAACUCAAAU